GAACGCCGUAUGCGAUGAAAGUUGCACCUACGGUGUGAGCGAGGGGAAAAGGGAGCGAUAAAUUCAAACCCUUACCUAUUCGUCAU
rnacentral:ncRNA from 1 species